rnacentral:rRNA from 1 species
UACGUAGGUGACAAGCGUUGUCCGGAUUUACUGGGCGUAAAGAGCGCGCAGGCGGUCGUUCAAGUCGAGUGUGAAAGCCUCCGGCUCAACUGGGGAGGGUCAUUCGAUACUGAUCGACUCGAAGGCAGGAGAGGGAAGUGGAAUUCCCGGUGUAGUGGUGAAAUGCGUAGAUAUCGGGAGGAACACCAGUGGCGAAGGCGACUUCCUGGCCUGUUCUUGACGCUGAGGCGCGAAAGCUAGGGGAGCAAACGGGG